rnacentral:rRNA from 1 species
GACGAACCGUGCGAACGUUGUUCGGAAUCACUGGGCUUAAAGGGCGCGUAGGCGGGCGAGCAAGUUCGGGGUGAAAUCUUUCGGCUCACCCGGAAAAGGGCCUCGGAGACUGCUCGUCUGGAGGGAGGUAGGGGCAGGUGGAACUGCUGGUGGAGCGGUGAAAUGCGCAGAUAUCAGGAAGAACACCCGUGGCGAAGGCGGUUCUCUGGGACGGUACUGACGCUGAGACGCGAAAGCGUGGGGAGCGAACAGG